UUUUUUUUUUUUUUUUUGAGACAGGGUUGUGCUAGCCUUGAACGCACUGGAAUCUUCUUGCCUCAGCCUUCUGAGUGCUGGGAUUACAGGCAUGCACCACCACGCCCCUCUCAGUAACACUUCUUAACAGUAAAUAUGUGAACUCACCAUACCUAUGUUUGAUAAACUUCAGUCUGAGCAGCUCUAUUUGACCCCAAGUUACUCUGGGGAAACCGAGAUCUGAGACUCGAGCCGGGCGUCUGGAGUCUUGAGGGAGGAGAAUCGCAAGGCUGGUCGCAGGGCCCCUGCAGACCGGAAGGACGCCACGGCCCCCAGACUGGGUUCUUGCCAGGAUAGUGCUGAAGAUCAAAUCCAGGGCCCUGUGCACUCUAGGCAAAGUGCUCCACUACUGAGCUACAUCCCCAGCCUGACUUCUUAGUUUUCACAAGCACAGUUAUGUAUGAUGUAGCAUUAGGAAACCUGAGGAAGGUUUGGGCAAAAAAUAUGAAGACUGCAUAAAAGGAUGUGAAGAAGCUGGGCUUGGUGGCACACCCACUGUAAUCCCAGCGCUCAGCAGGCUGAGGCAGGAGGAUCACCAGCUCAAGACCAGCCUGAACCACAUAAGGAGGCCCUGUCUUCUAAAAAAAAAAUUCUCAUUAGGUUCUUGAACCCAUUAUUUUUCUUAAUAUUUAAAUUUUUAUUAGUACAUAUUUGCCAUACAUAAUGAUCAGUGAAUCCCUUAUUAAAACCAUGAGAAUGCUUCAAUGAGGAUCUUAGAAGAAACAAACUUGGCUGGGAAUA